rnacentral:rRNA from 1 species
UGUUUGAUGUUCUAACGUUGGCCCCUGAUCGGGGUUGCGGACAGUGUCUGGUGGGUAGUUUGACUGGGGCGGUCUCCUCCUAAAGAGUAACGGAGGAGCACGAAGGUUGGCUAAUCCUGGUCGGACAUCAGGAGGUUAGUGCAAUGGCAUAAGCCAGCUUGACUGCGAGCGUGACGGCGCGAGCAGGUGCGAAAGCAGGUCAUAGUGAUCCGGUGGUUCUGAAUGGAAGGGCCAUCGCUCAACGGAUAAAAGGUACUCCGGGGAUAACAGGCUGAUACCGCCCAAGAGUUCAUAUCGACGGCGGUGUUUGGCACCUCGAUGUCGGCUCAUCACAUCCUGGGGCUGAAGUAGGUCCCAAGGGUAUGGCUGUUCGCCAUUUAAAGUGGUACGCGAGCUGGGUUUAGAACGUCGUGAGACAGUUCGGUCCCUAUCUGCCGUGGGCGCUGGAGAACUGAGGGGGGCUGCUCCUAGUACGAGAGGACCGGAGUGGACGCAUCACUGGUGUUCGGGUUGUCAUGCCAAUGGCACUGCCCGGUAGCUAAAUGCGGAAGAGAUAAGUGCUGAAAGCAUCUAAGCACGAAACUUGCCCCGAGAUGAGUUCUCCCUGAGACUUUAAGUCUCCUGAAGGAACGUUGAAGACGACGACGUUGAUAGGCCGGGUGUGUAAGCGCAGCGAUGCGUUGAGCUAACCGGUACUAAUGAACC